rnacentral:rRNA from 1 species
AACGAACGCUGGCGGCACGCCUAACACAUGCAAGUCGAACGCCUGGUAGCAAUACCGGGAGUGGCGGACGGGUGAGUAACGCGUGGGAACCUGCCUUGUGGUGCGGGACAACCCCGGGAAACCGGGGCUAAUACCGCAUGAUCCCCCUGGCAACGGGGGGUAAAGAUUUAUCGCCAUGAGAGGGGCCCGCGUCGGAUUAGGUAGUUGGUGGGGUAACGGCCUACCAAGCCUUCGAUCCGUAGCUGGUCUGAGAGGANGGCCAGCCACACUGGGACUGAGACACGGCCCAGGCUCCUACGGGAGGCAGCAGUGGGGAAUCUUGGACAAUGGGGGCAACCCUGAUCCAGCGAUGCCGCGUGGGUGAUGAAGGCCUU